GUGUAGCCUAUUUUUUUUCCAAUUACACCCUCCCUUUUUAAUGAGAAUUUCACAUUUUACCCUUGAAAACUAAACAACAGUUUAGUAAAUUUGAGAUUUCCCUUUCUUAAUUUUAGUAACCGACUACAUCUCCUUCUCUCCUUUCACGUUUAAUGUCAAAGACUCAAAGUCUCAAUCUUUUCCCUAGAAAUUUCUGAGGAGGAUUCAGGAUAUGGUGAUGCUAAGUCAACAUUUACACCACUCAACAACCAUAAAUGUCUUGCACUUUGUAAUGUUAAAGAGAUAAACGAGGGUGCAAGAGAAGAAGAUAUUAUAGAGAAGACAAAAGCAGAAGGAUGACUGCGGAACCAGCGAACGCGCAUUGGAAAUCUGUAGCAGUGAAGGUACAUUAGGAACCGCGAAAACAAUAAGGGUUACACAAGGAAAAACGUAUGUUCCCUCUGUUCAAUUUUUUCAGUUGCUUUUUCUAUAUCCCUCCCUUUUCAUUUUUUUUCUCUCUAGACAAAUACUCAAAUUGCUGUUACAAUAUACUAAUUAUACCAAAUACGCCAUUGAAAUUACUUUGUUUUUUCUGUUCUAAUAUUUACUUUUAUAUUUGUAGGGAUAACUGAUAUGAGGCCCUUAAUCAAACAAAAUUAAAUUGUCUCACAUACAGAAUAGAAUGUGAAGUUGAAACAUAGAGUUUAAUCAUAAAAUUGAUUUUCUCAUCAUGUAGAGGUAGCAAUUAUUCAAAACAUUAAUAAUCAUAUGCAACUGGAUAUGAUUUCCUGUAUAUUUCUCUCCCCAACAAUCUCUCUCACUUCUUUCAUGUGUUGCAAUUGAAGUUUGAAUGAUAAAGAAAUUAGUUCUACACUUAAUGCCCUCAGAGACAAUCUGCAUUCUCAAUUUUUCUUAAAUAUUUGAAUCUGAACCAUAGUUAAAUCAAGUUUGGUGUUAAAUUGCAUUUCUAUUUGCCAUUUCGUUGGUUUAUUAUUCCAUUAUUCUCAAUUUUCCGAGAGCUAUACGGGAACCAGUGUGUUUAUUUAUUUUAAUCUCUUGAAGUCAUUUACAUGAUUUCGUUUUCUCGGUAAACAUUAUCAAGAUUUAGUAGUUUGAUUGCCACAAUCCUUAGAGUAAUUUUUUAAGUAAUAAAUUGCUCACAAAUAUAGCAGGCGUGGGCGUAAUUUUAUCACAGGUAAAUUAACGACUUCAACAAAAAAAAAAACAAUCACAUUUUAUUUAUACUAAUUCAUCUACCAUUAUUUGCUACCAUGUGUUUUAUUUUGUUUAUUGUUUACAAAUAUGACAUGCUUCAUGAGUGUUAUCUUUUAGAAAUUAUUUGUUUCUAUAUCAGGUAAAUGUCCAGUAACAAACAUGUUAAGGCAAAGUAUUCAUGGACCAUUGGAGCUCAAUGCAACACGUGUCUGUUUUGAUUCAUUGUCGUUGAUCAAAUUCAUCUCUAUCAUUGGAUCAUUAUUGUUUUUUCUUUUCUAUUUUUUUCUAUAGGUUGUUUCUAUGAGAAAAUUAAGGUUUGGAAAUUAUGUAGAUUAUUUAUAUGGGACUGCACAAUCUCAUGGCCUAGGAUCCAUGGAAUAAAAUGCGCAAGCAGCAGUCAACAAUCAAGAUAAUAGCAAAAGGAAUAAGACGAACACAAAAUGCAAGAGAUAGAAUACAAAUAAAGCAUUUCGAGUAUUUAAAAGAACAGUUAUGUGUACAUUUGUGUUAGAAUCAAAAUUGUAUAAAGAAGAUUGGUAAAAUAUAUACACUUAAGUGCAAUAAGGAGAUGACAAAGACCCAAAUGAAUCUUAGCCAAGUGGGGGAUGGAUAGCUCACUUAGUUGAGUUAAGGGAUUAAAUGAAUUAAAGAUAUAUCAUGAUCUUCAAUAUUACUCUAUGUUUCUUUCUAA